rnacentral:tRNA from 1 species
AACUUAUAAAUCAUUCGAUGGAGAACUGUAAAUUCUCAUAAGAUUACACUUUCAGCUUU